UCAAAUGGUUAUUUUGUGGUUACCAUGGUUUUACUACAGUAACCAUGGUUUUUUGGUUUUAACUGUAGUAAAACCAUGGUUAAUUUUCGUAAGGGGAGAAAUGGUCUAACAUUAUUAUAACGUUAUAUGAACUCAUAUGACUUUAUCAUUACCUGUCACACUUAAUGUAGAGAGUAAUAUAAUUAAUUAAAUCCUUGAACUUCCCUGUCUUAAGUUCUGUGAAAAAAGCCUUGUUAAAGGGACACCAUGAAACUUUUUGGCCACUAGGGGGUGCUAGACACGUAUUUUUCACUUCUAGCGCCCCUAGAGCCCACAAGCGCCGCAGCACUGUCGCAAAGGAAAGGAACUGGCCAACCUUAAAACUAAACUAAAAACUAAACAUUUAAAAUGCUAAACGAUCAACAUUUUGAGACAACAGGGAGAAACGCAGUCAUGUUACAACUUUCUGAUGAGGAACUCGUCGUGGCAGAAGCCAUUUCUCAAUCUGAAGGUUGCAGCCUCCGGAUGUCGUAUUUCUAAGCUGUAUACGUCAUCAAGACUGUCUUAUUUCACAAUAUUAACAAUUACAAAGUUGACUAUUAUACUUAGUUAAUCGUAAAUUGUUGCAGUAUGCUUAUGACUUGCGAAUGUAAUGCUCAGUUUACCUUAAUAAACCAGGCUUGAUGACGUAUGCAGCCUGCAUAUUUGACCUCCGGAGGCUGCAGCCUUCCAAUUCAGAAACGACCAGACGUAUUUCCUUGCCUUUUUCCAAACAAAUAUUGUUGCAUCGUCUCUCUCUCCCUCGCCACCAGGAUUUUCCGCAAUGGCGCUCGUUAUUCCUCUUUUUUGUGUGAAAAUCGCUCCAAAUCCUAGUAAACCGAUGCGUUUAGGUCUGCCGCUUUGUAAUACGUCACGCGAGUGACAGCGGAACGCAGCAAAUGAGGAAGAGAGAAGAGAGAAACGCUCGGAUCUGAUUGGUGAAUGAAUAGGGUUUGGUUUUACACUGUGAGCAAGUUUGAGUGCUAUAGCAUCCUGGAUUGUAAUGUAAAUAUCAUAGACACAGUAAAAGAAAGGUAAAUACGUGAACACAGCAUCUGAAUACAGGGAACUAUAUGCAAUAUAAUCGCCGUAAUUUAUAAAGAACAUCGCAUUUAUGUAUGAAUCAACAGUUUAUAUUAAAAAUUGCCUUAAAGGGGAAUCGAACCCGGGUCGCCCGUGUCAUAGGUCCGUGACACUAAAGACUGUGCCACAGAGUCACUUAAUAGAAGUUGCUCUCUACACUCCAGCAAAAUUCACGUUAAAAACAAAUUGUGUGGAGGAAGUGACGUAUGCCGUAAAGCAGUCGAAUUUUGUAGUUUUUUUGUGCUCUGGUUACUACCAGAAACCCUAAGUUUUAAAAUACGAGUAAAAGUGAUACAGACCCCGUCAGGCUAUGGUAGACAUGUCAUUCAACCUAUUUAAAGUCGAUGUACUAUCACAAGGGUCUUGAAAAUUUAUUAUGAAGGUUGAAAAAUUACAUGGUGUCACUUUAACUUCUUUUAACUGUUAUAAGUUUAACGUUAACUAUUAUGUGUUAAAAUAACCACCUAAUUAUUUCAACCUAAAAAUGACCAAUGCACUGGAGUAAAUAUGUAACGUUAGUAGUCAACUUUAUAAUUAUUUUACUUUUAUCCUGUUUUUACUUCUUCCCCUCAGCGGUUCUUAAUCAUUUAGUAAUGAAAAGAUCAUGUACAUUGCAAGUUAAAUUAAUAAAUACAUGCCUACUAUACUGUCUUUUGCAGGUGUGCCAGGUGGGUGCAGUAUCUCAGAAAUGCUUCUUUAAAGAGGAUAAGCUCUCAGCGGCUUCAUCUCAACUACAGGGUGUGCAGUGCACAUUUUCACGCUACCCAGUUCAAGAGACCAUCUAAUGUCCAUGCAGGAUUGAAAUGGGAUGCAGUGCCCACAAUGAUUAAUGUCCCUAACCCACCACCCCCAUUGGACUUGGAGAUAAAGAGAAAGCCACCAAAGACACGUCAGGAGUUACCAUCAAAGAAACGUAAAAAAGAUUAUGUUGUUUACCUGUCAAAUGCUGGCUCAUCCACUGCAGACAGUGUUCUACAAACCACUGGUUCAGAGACAGAUAUGGACUAACUUGAUGCUUCUGUAGCAGGGCCUUCGGUGCCACUGACACCACUG